CAGUAGCCACGGUAAUACGCAGGUGGCAAGCGUUGUCCAGAAUUAUUGGGUGUAAAGGGCUCGCAGGCGGUUUCUUAAGUCUGAUGUGAAAGCCCCCGGCUCAACCGGGGAGGGUCAUUGGAAACUGGGAAACUUGAGUGCAGAAGAGGAGAGUGGAAUUCCACGUGUAGCGGUGAAAUGCGUAGAGAUGUGGAGGAACACCAGUGGCGAAGGCGACUCUCUGGUCUGUAACCGACGCUGAGGAGCGAAAGCGUGGGGAGCGAACAGGAUUAGAUACCCCUGUAGUCCCUGUCUCUUAUAA
rnacentral:rRNA from 1 species